rnacentral:rRNA from 1 species
AGGGAAAGAGGGGGGUAGGCCUAACACAUGCAGGUCGAACGGCAGCACAGUAAGAGCUUGCUCUUACGGGUGGCGAGUGGCGGACGGGUGAGGAAUACAUCGGAAUCUACUUUUUCGUGGGGGAUAACGUAGGGAAACUUACGCUAAUACCGCAUACGACCUACGGGUGAAAGCAGGGGAUCUUCGGACCUUGCGCGAUUGAAUGAGCCGAUGUCGGAUUAGCUAGUUGGCGGGGUAAAGGCCCACCAAGGCGACGAUCCGUAGCUGGUCUGAGAGGAUGAUCAGCCACACUGGAACUGAGACACGGUCCAGACUCCUACGGGAGGCAGCAGUGGGGAAUAUUGGACAAUGGGCGCAAGCCUGAUCCAGCCAUACCGCGUGGGUGAAGAAGGCCUUCGGGUUGUAAAGCCCUUUUGUUGGGAAAGAAAAGCAGCAGGUUAAUACCCCGCUGUUCUGACGGUACCCAAAGAAUAAGCACCGGCUAACUUCGUG